UACUCGAGUGGCGAACGGGUGAGUAACACGUGGGUGAUCUGCCCUGCACUUCGGGAUAAGCCUGGGAAACUGGGUCUAAUACCGGAUAGGACGAUGGUUUGGAUGCCAUUGUGGAAAGUUUUUUCGGUGUGGGAUGAGCUCGCGGCCUAUCAGCUUGUUGGUGGGGUAAUGGCCUACCAAGGCGUCGACGGGUAGCCGGCCUGAGAGGGUGUACGGCCACAUUGGGACUGAGAUACGGCCCAG
rnacentral:rRNA from 1 species